GCCGGGCACGGUGGUGCAGGCCCGUAAUCCCAGCAGUUCGGGAGGCUGAGGCAGGAGGAGUGAGUGAGUUCAAAGCUGAGCCUCAGCAACUUAGUGAGGACCUCAGUCACUCAGUGAGACCCUGUCUCUA
rnacentral:sRNA from 1 species